UACGGAGGGAGCAAGCGUUACUCGGAAUUAUUGGGCGUAAAGGGCGCGUAGGCGAUUCGAUAAGUCUCAUGUGAAAUCCCAGGGCCUAACCCUGGAAUGGCAUGGGAUACUGUUGGAUUUGAGUUCCGGAGAGGAAGGCAGAAUUCCUGGUGUAGCGGUGAAAUGCGCAGAUAUCAGGAGGAACACCGGUGGCGAAGGCGGAUCUCUGGGCCAUUACUGACGCUGAGGAGCGAAAGCGUGGGGAGCGAACAGG
rnacentral:rRNA from 1 species